GGAGGAGGAGGAGGAAAAGAAAGAACGAAGAAAGAAAGAGAAAAAGACUCUUUAGCAUUGACAAAUGUCAAGUUGAAGUUGAAGGUUGAAAAACCAGGAACUUGUUCAGAAGGUUCAAUGACUCAAAGAAAGCCAUGUAGCAGAUUGAUCAAGAUAUAAGCCAAACUUUUAGGGUUUAAGAACAAAAGACACAUGACCCCAUCCCUAACCCAGAAGCCAUCUCUGACUGAUAACCAUUUGCAAAUGAAAAUCUAGUUUUCACCAAGAGUCUUACUGGGGAACCCAACUACUCUUAGGGGUAGGCUGCAAGCCCAGUACUAGCUGCCAAAGGAAAAGGACUCAAUGGCAUCUUUGGAAGUUCCUUGUCUCAUAAUGUCGUGUCAGGCUUCUUCCUCUUAAACUCUUCCUCUUUACUCUAUAGGUUCCUUACAUGUAUAUUAUGGCUUUCAGUUUAAUGUUUUUGUGGGAUUCCUGAGUGUGCGAAUACGUGGGUCAUGAGCCUUCUCUUGGGCUCUUUUCCUUCUGUUUGUUCAUUUUGUCCAAUUCUGAUGUGUUGGUUUUUGUUUCAUCUUUUUAUUUUAUUUUGUUUUACUGUUAUCCCACAGAAGCCUAUUUGUUUUCUAGUGAAAGACAGAGAGAUCUGGAUAGGAGGGAUGGUGGAGAGGAGUAGAGGGAGGAGGAGCCAUAUGGGAGAAAAAAAUCUAUUUUUAAUAAAAGGGAAGAUGAGGAAAAAAUCAAAGAAUCAAUGAAGGAAGAAUGUCUAUCACGUAUGAACUCUAUAUUCAGGAAAUAGCCUGGGACGCCUUCAGGAAGCCUGGGAAGGGAUCUUAGUUGGUAGAGUGCUUGCUUUCCUAUCAUACAGAAAGUCCUAGGUUAAAUUCCCACUAGAGCAUAACAUUAGUACAGUGAUGCAUAGUUCUAAUCCUGCCCUAGCACCCGGGAGGUAGAGGCAGGAGGAUGAAGAACAAAAUCAUUCUGAAGUAUAUAUCAAAUGUGUAGUCAGCCUGGCCUCCUGAGAUCAUGUCAAAAAAAAUGAAUAGAACAGAAAUAAUUGCCAGAAAAAGAGAAAAAUACCCAGAGAGGCAAAAGAGAUUAAUACAUGCAGUUUUCAAGGUAGAAAUAGAAGGCUUAACAUAGGAUGUCUUAGCAUCAGGAGGAAACCACAGAGCAAGAAGAAAGUUGAAAGUAGAGAGGAUGUAUCUUGAUGGGGGCAGCGCUGCCCAGCAUGAGGUCAACAAAGUAAAGAACUUUCUCUGAGACAGAAGAAGAGGAAGAGAAAGCAGAAGGAAACAGCUGUAUCCUGCAGCACAUAGGCAGAUGAUGAAAUCACCAUCAAUUAUAUUGGACCAAGGCCAACCUUCAAUAUGGCAAGAAGGGUAAUAUACCCCAAGAAACCAAGAACCAAGCAGGAGCUUGCAAGAAAAUAGACAGACAUAUGGAACAGCUAUUAUCUGGGAAGCAAAAGGAAUUUAAAUCUUCUGAAAGUUCAGGGGAGCUCAAUUGAACGGUCUAAUCACGCAGUCAAGAGCUAUGGGGUUAUGGAGGAUUGUACCGAGGUUCCAGAAAGCCGCCAAGACAUGACCAUCUGAGACAAGCUUGGAUUUUCUGCAAGGAAUCCAGGAGAGGCCAUUCCAUGAAACCAUGACAAUAAAUAAUAAACUGAAUGAAAGUUGAGAUGGAGACUCCUGGAUGUCGGAAACUCCAGAAUAAUGGAAUGUCUGCCAUCGGAAGCAACAAGCAUGGAAUGGAACCGUCCAAGAUGGGUUACAUGGACAGGCAGCAGAACUGGAGGGACAGGACUAACCAAGCCUAUUGGGACCCACUAAAAGCCUUCGAUGCCAAACAUGGGGCUGCAUGGAAACCAUGAUUUGGUAUUUCCCUUGCUAAGUUUAAGUCUUGUUGUUUCUUUGCUAUGUUCCUAAAUCUCUUUUUGAAUGAGAAUGUUUAUUCUAUGACAGUGUAUAUUGUAAGUAUAUAACUUGCCAUUUGAUUUUUACAGGGGUUCACAGCUAAGAGAUAGAUUUGAUUCUCAGAAAAGACUUUGGACUUUGAGAUUUUGGACACCUUUAGAACUAUUAAGAUUUAGGGAGCUCUUGGAGAUGAGCCAAGGGAUCUCCGAGUUGACUAUGGGUAUUUUGGAGCCCAGGGGUAAUAUUCUGGGUAAAAGGGACAUAUUUGGGUCUUAAGUUGAAGGGGGGUGGUUUGUGGUGGUUAGUCUUCACUGUCAACUUUACUAGAUUUAGAAUCAUUUAAGAGGCACACCUCUGAGAAUGCCCAUGAGGGUGUUUCCUGAGAGGUUUAACUGAGUGGGUAAGACCCACACUGAAUGUGGAUCAUACCAUUUUGCAGACUGGAUCACAAAGAAAGAGAAAAAAGCAGAAAGCAAGGCGAACUCCAGAGUUCAAGUAUCUAUCUCUCUCUGCUUCCUGACUGAGGACAAAGGGCAAGACUCUGAAAAUCUCUUUCAUUGUAAGAGACUGGAACUUUUGCCAGACCUCAC